CUCACCCACUGGACUGAACCUUCCCAGGCACUAACCAGUGUCGUUAAUUCACUUCCAUUUGCCACUGACUCUAUGGACACAAUUGGAUAAGGUUAUUUUAUCAAGACUUUAACUGGAAGGGUGGGUGGCCAUUCGUCUUCAGUGUGUACCCCUUCCAAAUGCAUCCUGAACUGCUGGGACUUCUUUGAAAAGCACCUUCUUUUCCCUGUCUCCUCCUCAGUCCUCUCUUCAGUUAGGCCAUCAAACUCCAAACAAUCAUGCAACCAGAGCCUCUAAUGAUGGCCCCUUCUGCCAGGAACCUUUAAAUUUCCUCUGAGGGAGCUCUGACUGUUGUUUCUCAACAACUGCACCCCCUGUCAGCAGGAAGCAGUUAAGAUCAUCUUCCUCCUUACCUUGAAUCUACCAGCGGUUACAUGUACUUCUUUAGAGGGGUGAAUGAGAGCCAGGUGGGAGGGGGUCCCUGGAGAAAUUCCAGUCAGUCUGCCCAUUGAGGUGGAGCCUUGGGAAGUUCAUGCCCUUUGCAGUGGGGAGGGGCCUGGCCCCACCUCUUCCUAUGUGGAACCCAGUAUUCAAAUAGCAGCAGGAAGCUCUCUAGCAGGGGACUCUGAAACAGGAGGAUGCCUGUCCCCCCUCCUCCUUUUUUUUCCCUUUUCACCCAAUAAAACCUUGCUUUACUCACCCUUUAAACCAUCUUUGAGCCUAAAUUUUCAUGUCUAUAGGAUAGACAAGAACCCUGUCUUUAGCUAAA
rnacentral:lncRNA from 1 species